UAAAUUUCAUUUCUUUUCUCUUCUAUCUAUUUCCAUCAAUCCAAACAAAGGGUAAGACUUGAAUACACUAAAAACUAAAGAGUCAUAACAAGUUGCUUAAGUCGAAAUCAAACUCAAAAUAGCCCUAAGGCUCAUACAAAAACAAACCCUAGUCUUCUGGCUUGACCUGAUAAUAGAUCUAACAAGGUAGAGGAAAGAUUUGGAUAUGAUAAUUGACGUUGUUGCCCAUCACCCAACCACCCAUUACUAAGCCUUCCCGAAGCAAGCGAAAGAAAGUUUUUAAUAGCUCAAUAGAAUCACAACACGCUACACAUAGUUAUUUCAAACCCAAAACAUUGCCAUUUGAUGAGAAGCAACCUUUAGCUAAGACAAGAACGAAAAGCCAUUAGUGAAUAGUGGAUCUAAGCCAAGGGGAACAUUUAGGUGUGGGGCAAAGCACUUUUGCACCUUCGACCUUUAAGAGAUUGGAUGCCCAAGAGAAUGGCACUAGUAACAUCUUCAAUAGAUAUUCACACAGCUAAACGAGUACCCCAGCAAUCCCAAGCAAAUACUGCCUUUAAAUCGAAGAAGAAAGUCAUUGACUAACCUCUAUCCAUGCACUAGUACACAACCACAGAGGAGAAGCCCUCCUGUUG
rnacentral:misc_RNA from 1 species